UUGUUUACCAAAAACAUCACCUCCAGCAUUCCCAGUAUUGGAGGCAUUGCCUGCCCAGUGACAACCGUUUAACGGCCGCGGUAUCCUGACCGUGCAAAGGUAGCAUAAUCAUUUGUUCUCUAAAUAAGGACUUGUAUGAAUGGCCGCACGAGGGUUUUACUGUCUCUUACUUCCAAUCAGUGAAAUUGACCUUCCCGGAAGAGGCGGAAUGCACCAUGGACG
rnacentral:rRNA from 1 species